UCAGUGCACAAAUGCAUCGUCUUUCUGUUGAUAGUGUAAUGCUUUACCAGAAGACAGAAAUGCCGAAAAAAAGAGAGGGGAUAAGAAAAAACAGAUAUCGCAGAGUAGUGGUUUACAUCAAAUCCACCCACAUAUGGGAGGGAGAUGAAUAAAAUAGAAAUUCAUCCAUUUUCUCAUAACUAUACAAAAAGUUCUAUAGAAGAGCUUUACUAAGCCUAUGACAUCAAUACUAAAGUCCAACAGCUACCACCCAGCAACAUACCUGUCCAAGGGUAAACUAUAAGUUAGUACCCAUGAUUAUAUUAAUAAGGUCCCAUUUGGUAAGCCUUUAUAUAAGAAUCUCCUAAGACCUGUUUUGCCAAAAAAAUUUUUAGUUCAAGUUUGUUUUCUGAAAAAGGAAAAGGUAAAGAAGUAAUUGCCUAAAAAAAUACCCAAGGAAAAUAAUAUAUAAGUGAAACCUGCCAAAUGGUU
rnacentral:lncRNA from 1 species